rnacentral:rRNA from 1 species
GACGAACGCUGGCGGCGUGCUUAACACAUGCAAGUCGAACGGAAAGGCCCUGCUUUUGUGGGGUGCUCGAGUGGCGAACGGGUGAGUAACACGUGAGUAACCUGCCCUUGACUUUGGGAUAACUUCAGGAAACUGGGGCUAAUACCGGAUAGGAGCUCCUGCUGCAUGGUGGGGGUUGGAAAGUUUCGGCGGUUGGGGAUGGACUCGCGGCUUAUCAGCUUGUUGGUGGGGUAUUGGCUUACCAAGGCUUUGACGGGUAGCCGGCCUGAGAGGGUGACCGGCCACCUUGGGACUGAGAGACGGCCCAGACUCCUACGGUGGGCAGCAGUGGGGAAUAUUGCACAAUGGGCGGAAGCCUGAUGCAGCAACGCCGCGUGCGGGAUGACGGCCUUCGGGUUGUAAACCGCUUUCGCCUGUGACGAAGCGUGAGUGACGGUAAUGAGUAAAGAAGCACCGGCUAACUACGUG